ensembl:lncRNA
CACCCUCUCAGGUUGUGUCAGGCCGGUCCUCACGCAGAAUUCAACAGGGGGGCGGGGUGUGGGCAGAGGUGCAGGGGGACAGAGGGGAAGGAUGAAUGAUGCAUGGAAGACCAGGGUGUCAGCGGGGAAGAAAUUCUGAGACUAUGAAGAAGGAUUUGCAAGAAAAUGAGACAGGGGCCUGUUCCUCUCUGGGAGUCAGAGGAAGGAAGGAGUGUGGACAAAAGGACAGUGUUGACAGCUGGGUCAGGCAAGAAGAAGUGGAAACGGAGGAGAGGGGUCCAGCCAGCAUCCAGCUCUCCAAAUGGCAGUUGGAGUGGAAAUCAACUGUUGCCAAAACAGGAAGAAUGAAGGUGACUGUAGACCAAGGUCCUGCAGUGGGUGAAGGAGUCACGAAGACAGGCAGAAGCCAGGCUCUGCCCUGGAGGAGCACACUGUUGACUGGGCGAGAGGCUUGUAGACAGAUCCUUGCAGUUCGGCACCGCGCAAGAACCAGUGCUACAAGACACCAUCGAUGAAACUCGGAUCUCAUCACUUCCCUGCUGGAAGCCUCUCAAUGGCUCCCCAGUGCCAACCAGCUAAAAACAAAGCUCCCAGGCAGGCUGACCUCUUGGCUUCGUCUCUCGAGCUCUCUGCCCCUUCACAGCCUUGCCAUCCCCAGAGGGCACUGCAGCUCUGUCUCCACGCCUUCCUCACUCCACUCCUUCAACCCAGAACAUCCUCCACUCUCCUCCACCCCUCCCUGCCCAUUUCUCCUGAGGAUCAUCUGCUCACCCUUUAAGCCAGCUCUGUCUACUACCACCUCCUUUCUGAAGCUUUUCUUGACCACUCUCCCCCAUGCAACCUUAUCCCAGGCGGAAGGGACCACUCCUUCGUACACCCCUCUGGACCCCAUGCUUCCAGUUUAGCUCCUGUCAUUCUGAAUUACCCGAGUUUGUUGACCUAUGUAUCUCCCCUGUCCUUAUGUCUUAUUUAUCUUUUUAGCCCUUGAAACUAUCACACACUCCAGCAUAUAAUAGGUUUUCAAUAGGUGCUCAACGAACUAAUGAUAACAAACCAGCAGGGGCAGAGGGAAAAAAUGCUGCCUCUGGAGCCAGACCUGAACUGAAUCUUUGUUAAACAUACUUCGCAGUUUGCUUGAGUGAGUUAUUGGUAAUUAACUUCUCCUAGCCUCAGUUUAACUCAACUGUCAAAUGGAAAGUCCACUGCGCCCCACGCAGCACGAUGCCUGACCCAAGGCAUCUACAGGGCUUCCUGCCUUCUCUUUCAGGUGGUCGUGGGUGAUGUUCAGACCACAUGGGAGGACUGUGGCCUCCGGGGCUGCACCAGGCAGUCUGCAGGGCUGGCUGCCGUGACAUGACUCCUUCUCGGCCACAAAGUCUACACUCUAGACCUUGCCGGAGGAGAGAAAGUGGGAACCUUAAAUCUCCCCACCCGCUCUAGACCUCUAGUUCCAGCCCCCAGGAUCUACGAGGUCCUGAACCCCCUUGAACUCUUCUUGUCCUGACCCCCAAAUCCCCUGGUGCCUCUGACGCCCUCAGCUUCGAAGGUCCCUCAGAACAUCUGGAGCUUCCUCAGGUUCUCUGGGGUCCCUUGAGUCCUCCAGGAUCCUCCACAAUUCUUCACUGGUCUCCCUUCCCGAUCACAUCUGAGCAGUCCUGGAACCUGACUCUCGGAUCCCUGGUGACCCUCUCCAUGGUCUCUCCAGACUCCCAGGAUCCCGUGUUCUCCUCGCCAUCCCUCUCUGCCCGCUCCAGGUGCUGGCAGCCCUAACCCCGGCACCAUCUGGACACACGGCUGCAACACAGGGGCUCCAGCUGCUGCAGGAUUCCUCCUGCGGCUGCCCCAGACAGCUCUCUCCUUUGCCACGUUGCAAUUCACUUUAACAGCAAAUUCAGCCUGAGGAACUUCUGGCAGCACAUACACUCCCCAAGGACCCACAGCAGGAGAAAGAAGGAGAAAGUGGGGAUGGCAACCUGAUCUGACCCAGCACGCUCUUCACGUGGCCCCACGCCUGCCCAGACUUCCCCGCGCCUAGGACGCCCUUUCCACCCACGACUUCUUAUCAAGGCCCAGCCCAGAUGCCCCCAAACUGUGCUCUCCUCUGUGCCUCCUCCUCUCUGUCACCUCAGCCAGAGGGGAGCUGUCUCCCCAAGGCCCUGGAGGACAUACGUCACUCUGGGUACCACCGCCUUGAAUUGCAGAGACUCCUCCAGGGUCCUACCUGCCUUAGGACACCAGCUUCUUGAGGGGAGAGGACAGGCUUUGACGUUGGGUGUAUGGACUGAAUUGUAUCCCCUCAAAAUUCAUACACUGAAAACCUAACCUCCAAUGUGACUAUAUUUGGAGAUAGGGCCUUGAAAGAAGUAAUUAAAGUUAAAUGAGGUCAUACAGGUGAGGCCCUAAUCGAUAGGACUGGUGUCCCUAUAAGAAGAGGGACCACCAGAGAUUUCCCCCUUCCCCACAUGAGCACAGAGGAAGGGCCAUGUGAGGACACAGCGAGAAGGCUGCCAUCUGCCAUUCAGGAAGAGAAGCCUCACCAGAAACCAACUCUGCUGGCACCUUUAUCUUGGAAUUCCAGCUUCCAGAACUGUGAGAAAAUACAUUUCUGUUGUUUACGCCACCCAGUCAGUCUGUGGUAUUUUGUUACGGCAGCUCAACAGACUAAUACAUUUGGGAACUCAGGGAGAGAGUUCUGGGAGGGGAACACCAACAGACAGGCCAUUUCUCACAUAUUUUAUUUUUAUUUAUUUAUUUUUUUUGCUAGGGAAGAUUUGCCCUGAGCUAACAUCUGUUGCCAAUCUUCUUCUACUCUGUAUGUGAGCCGCCAUCACAGCAUGGCCACUGAUAGCCAAGUGGUGUAGGUCCACACCUGGAACUGAACCCAGGCCACCAAAGCAAAGUGCACUGAACUUAACCACUUGGCCACUGGGGCUGGCCCCCACACACACAUUCUUGAGCCCCUUCUGUUAGCCCAGCAGCAUGCAGGGCUGAGCGGGGACCAGACCCCAGCCUCCACAAGCCGAGCAAGAGGGAAGAGCUGAGGUCUGACCCGCUGCUGCUGCCCCGGCCAUGAGGAGACACGGGGCCAGGCGCUGGCUGGAAAAAAGGGAACAAAUACCUAAGCUCCUGCCACAUCUCAGACAGCCCCCUGCUGGGCUCAGCACCGUUUGCUGACGGAAUCCCUCAACUGCCCUUCCAAAGAGGGAUUCUUCCCCCAUUUUCCAGACAAAGCAACUUGGAGAGAUCCAGGAACUUGCCCCGGUUGACCUAAGCCGAAGGGUGGAGGGGGAUGAAGAUACGAACCAGGGCAAGGGACAGUCACAGCCUCCAAGAGGCUCAGGCUCUUCCAAGAGACAUCUCUCCGAUGGAAAGGCAGGAGAUUCCUGGCGGUCCCGUAACCUGGUCUGCGUCUGCACAGAGCAGUUGUGCAAGGAGUCAGCUGUACACGGGUCUGAGAGGACCCUCCGCCUGCCAGGGCUGCUGGCGUGGGCCCAGGCUCCACACAAGAAGAAAUGAAGGCUCCAGACAGCAAAGGCCUUGCGCAUCUCUGCGGCUGCAUCCUCAGACCCUAGGCUGCCUGACUCAUCAAGGGAGGGCUCGACUCUGUUGAAUGGGCCGUCCAGAUGGACCUCCAGUUCUGAUUAAUACUCUAUUGCUAUGAAACAUAAAGUGAUGAUGCCCGAGUGUAGCAGCCUUUUCCGGUUGAUGAAACAUUGCAUGAGUCACAUUUUCUACAUACAAUGGCUUGGGCUGGGUUAUCCCCAUUUUUACAUAUGCGGAAACUGAGGCUCAGAGGACCUAUGGGAUUUGCCCCAGGUCACAGCACCAGUAAGCAGUGGAGCAGGGGCUCAAACAGACCCCAACUUCUAUUCCCUUUCCACAGUCAAUUCCCUCCUUUUCCUCUGACACUCUCAUCCAUGCAGAUGCCCACAGCAGGCGCAGGUGUGCACGAGGAUGAAAAACAUCCACCACGAGACCGAGGCCAGCCUGCGACUGUGCGUGAGGAGACGCAUGCAGCACUGCACGAGAGUGGCCUGUGAAGGGGACAAUUGUAUAAGUGUGGGGAGUCGGGGAGACGUCAACAUGGAGCCACCUCUGCCUGGCAAGGCUGUUUUUUAUUCUCUGAAAGCUUUCUUUUCUCCUUAAAAAUUUUCUCAACAUGUCAAUACAUAGUUAUCGGGCAUCUCCCACAUGCCAGCAUUUUGCCAGGCACUGGGAAUUCAACAUAAAUAAGAGAAAGUUUCCACCUCAGAGUGGAAAAGAAUGAAGAAGAGAAACAAAAACCUAUUUCUUCUGCCAUUAAUUCAUUCGCUCAGGGCCGCGAAGUCCCAGGUUGGAAGCCCCAGGUUCAGACCAACGUGCUCAUUGUGUGACUGAAGCUAAGUCUCUUGACCUUGGUCUCAGUUUUCUCACCUGUAAAAUGGUACCAGGUAAUCCUCAAAUAAGGCCAGGCCAGUCGUUGGCAGUUAUUUAUCAAAUAGUAAUUGAUUAUACGAAGUAAUGGCGGGCUAUUGGUAAAGCCUGGACACAGAGGGCAGGAUGGUAAAAAUAAAAACUCAUCAGUUUUGUUCUCUGAAAGCAGUUAGUUGGAAUGAAAAAGAGAAGACAGAUAUUGGUAUGGCCCACAGCGUGUAAUAUCCUUGCUCUGUCGGACACAGAACUCCUCAGGUUCCCUUGGUCACCAUCUUUUUCCAAAGCCCUGCUCUGGGGCUUGUCAUGAGGGACAAGAUGCUGCACUUUGCACUUCCUGGCACAAAGGAAGAGGUAGAGUGUUUAUCUGGCCUCUUUGGAGUUGGGAGACAAGGUGGGCUGCUCUUGGGAACAUCACUUCAAUCUACUUACGGGGUGACCCAGAAGACCGCCAGCUUCAAGUAAGUCCCAGAGCGAGAAAGGCCCCUGCAGCAGGUCCAAGCUAUGGACAAGCUGCUCUGCCUCCUGGGCCUGUGAUCCAGCGUGUCCAGUGGUGGAUAAGGAUGCUGUGUGGAGUCUCGGGCAAGCUCCAAUGGAGAAGUGUACCACAUACCCUGCGGUUCUGGAACAAGGUCAUACCCUCUCUGGCAAAGAAUCACAUCUGAAAAACAGCUACUGGAAUGCUAUAGAGACUGAGUGCCUGACCAAUGGGCACCAAGCGACCAUUCAACCGGAGCUGCCCACCAAAAGCUGAAUCCAUGCGUCCGAUACACGAGUCCUAAAGUUGGACGGCAAAGCAGUAAUCCACUGUGUGAUGGGAGUGACACAUUUGGAUCAGGCUUGAGCUAGCCCAGAAUGUGUAAGGAAAUUGCAUGAGCAGGCGGCCCGGACCCCAAAUCACCUGCCUCUGUUGCAGUACUUCUUUUUCAACCCACAUUUAUGGCCUCGUGGGCGUUCCCUAUAACCAACUGACGGAUGUGCUAGAAUUAUGGUCCCACUCAGGUCAUCUCUGAAGGACAGUGAUAAAGGGAAAUCCUCUCUAGCGUACAUCUGGUCAUCCACUUUGUGUAUAGGGAGAGAUAGUCCAGAGGAAGGAUACACAUGGAUUACUAGUAAGUGGCAAAUGGUUUUGUCAGUUGGUCAGAGUCCUGGAAAGAGCAAAAUGAAAAGUUGAAGCAAAGGGGGUCUGGGAAAGAGAUAAGCGUAUGGCAAGGCCAGGACUGGGGUACAUUUCCAUGAUCCUAAGAGUGAAGGCUUCCUUAAACCUCAUGCCCUAUCGUGCACUGCCUCACCUGAGACCCAGCCCUCGUAGAUGGACCUAUGGAAACACACAGGAAGGGAGCAGAUCUCUGAGACUCACGUUAAUGUCCACCAAGGAGCAUCCGUCACAGAGGAGGCACUGAACAAUCAUCGGGCAGGAUAACUCAUCCUGUGACUGUCAGCCAGCCCUUCUCUUCAGUCAUCAGUCACCCUAGUGCUGGCAUAGUGGACGUGGUGGCAAGAUGGAGGCUUAGCAUGGGCUCAAGAUCACGGUGCCCUCUCACCAACUUUAGGAGCUACUGCUGAGUGCCCAGGCUGCUCGCGGCAGAAGUUGGCUCUGAGCUGUGUAUAUGGUGCUACUCCCCAGUAGGGGGAGAAAACAUCCAGCUACACGGUGGUAGGUUGAUUAUAUCAGACCCCCGGUAUUGAGGGGGCAGUGAUUUGUCCUUACCAGAAUCAGUGCAAACUCCAGCACCACCUGUGUGCUUACAGAAUGCCUGAUGUCUCAAUGUGGUAUCCCACAUCACAGUGCCUCAGACCAAAGAACCCAUUUUACAGCAAAGAGGCACACCACAGGCUCAUGACCACAGGAUUUACUAGUCCGACCCCAUCACCCAAAAUUAGUCAACUUGAUAGAAUGAUAGAAUGACCUGUCAAAGGCUCAGGAAAGCACCAUCUGGGAAACCAUGUCGAGUUGGAGUUCUCUCCUCCAAGAUGGAGUGUAUCCCGUAAACCAGUGCUCAUGAUACGGUACUGUGUCCCUGUCUUAGUCAGCUCAGGCUGUUAUAACAAGAAUACCAUAGACUGGGUGACUUAACAACAUUUAUUCCUCACAGUUCUUGAGGCUGGGAAGUCCAAGAGCAAGGCAUUGGCAGAUUCUAUGUCUAGUGAUGACAGUCUUCCUCGUUUGCAGAUGGCCAUCUUCUCAUUAUAUCCUUACAUAAUGGAGAGGAGGGGAGCGAGCUCUCUUCCUCCUCUAAUAAGGACACUAAUCCCAUCAUGGGGGCUCUACCCUCAUGACUUAAUUAUCUCUCAAAGGCCCCAU